rnacentral:rRNA from 1 species
UACGUAGGGUGCAAGCGUUAUCCGGAAUUAUUGGGCGUAAAGAGCUCGUAGGCGGUUUGUCGCGUCUGCUGUGAAAACCCGAGGCUCAACCUCGGGCCUGCAGUGGGUACGGGCAGACUAGAGUGCGGUAGGGGAGAUUGGAAUUCCUGGUGUAGCGGUGGAAUGCGCAGAUAUCAGGAGGAACACCGAUGGCGAAGGCAGAUCUCUGGGACGUUACUGACGCUGAGACGCGAAAGCGUGGGGAGCAAACAGG